CGGCAGGUCCUGCACGGCGAAGCGCCGUGAACCAUGUCAGGCGGGGAACCGAGCAGCAUUAAGCGGGCCGUUUUGUGCGAUGCAGUUCGCCUGCCGCCU
rnacentral:SRP_RNA from 1 species